rnacentral:rRNA from 1 species
CCUACGGGGUGCUGCAGUGGGGAAUAUUGCACAAUGGGGGAAACCCUGAUGCAGCGACGCCGCGUGAGUGAAGAAGUAAUUCGUUACGUAAAGCUCUAUCAGCAGGGAAGAAACACUGACCUUACGGUCAGCAGACGGUACCUGAGUAGGAAGCUCCGGCUAACUACGUGCCAGCAGCCGCGGUAAUACGUAGGGGGCAAGCGUUAUCCGGAUUUACUGGGUGUAUAGGGGGCGUAGACGGUGCGCCAAGUCUGGAGUGAAAUGCCGCAGCUUAACUGCGGAACUGCUUUGGAAACUGGCGAACUAGAGUGCGGGAGGGGUAAGCGGAAUUCCUGGUGUAGCGGUGAAAUGCGUAGAUAUUAGGAGGAACACCGGUGGCGAAGGCGGCUUACUGGACCGUAACUGACGUUGAGGCUCGAAAGCGUGGGGAGCAAACAGGAUUAGAUACCCUAGUAGUC